AUCCUACGGGAGGCAGCAGUGGGGAAUAUUGCACAAUGGGCGGAAGCCUGAUGCAGCGACGCCGCGUGAGGGAUGACGGCCUUCGGGUUGUAAACCUCUUUCAGUAGGGAAGAAGCGUAAGUGACGGUACCUGCAGAGGAAGCGCCGGCUAACUACGUGCCAGCAGCCGCGGUAAUA
rnacentral:rRNA from 1 species